rnacentral:rRNA from 1 species
GAUGAACGCUGGCGGCGUGCCUAAUACAUGCAAGUCGAGCGAACAGACGAGUAGCUUGCUCCUCUGACGUUAGCGGCGGACGUGUGAGUAACACGUGGAUAACCUACCUAUAAGACUUGGAUAACUUCGGGAAACCGGAGCUAAUACCGUAUAAUAUAUUGAACCGCAUGGUUCAAUAGUGAAAGACGGUUUUGCUUUCACUUAUAGAUGGAUCCGCGCCGCAUUAGCUAGUUGGUAAGGUAACGGCUUACCUAGGCAACGAUGCGUAGCCGACCUGAGAGGGUGAUCGGCCACACUGGAACUGAGACACGGUCCAGACGCCUACGGGAGGCAGCAGUAGGGAAUCUUCCGCAAAGGGCGAAAGCCUGACGGAGCAAAGCCGCGUGAGUGAAGAAGGUCUUCGGAUCGUAAAACACUGUUAUUAGGGAAGAAAAAAUGUGUAAGGAACUAGGCAGGGCUUGACGGUACCGAAUCAGAAAGCAACGGCUAACUACGUG